CAACUUUCAGCGACGGAUCUCUAGGCUCUCGCAUCGAUGAAGAACGCAGCGAAAUGCGAUAAGUAGUGUGAAUUGCAGAAUUCAGUGAAUCAUCGAAUCUUUGAACGCACCUUGCGCUCCUUGGUAUUCCGAGGAGCAUGCCUGUUUGAGUGUCAUUU
rnacentral:rRNA from 3 species